UGACUAUAAGUUAGUCCCUGGCCCUUCUAAGCUCCUGACUUAAAGGGCUCAUUUGUUUUCUCUCUCCUGGUUAGGGAGAGCAAAUCAGGUUUCUGACCCAAAUGACUUGGGGUUAAGAACAAACCCUGUGGACAAGCCAGGCUUGCGUUUGUAUUACUGUUCUCUUUCGAAUCAGCUGCGUGUUGUGAGCCGAGUACCUCUUUUUUUACAGGUGGAGAGUUCAUCGCCUACAAGUCAGUAACGAGAAAUGAAUGGGCGAUGUAACCUGGGAGGUACUUAACACAGCCUCUGGCAUAUCUAAAGAUUUCAACAAAUAUCAACCAGGAUGACUCAACCAGGAUUGUAGGAAUGCGGUCUUGGAAGCUGAUUUUGCAAAAAAGGGGUUCAAACUUCCGAAAGCUCGGAAAACUGGCACUACCAUCGCGGGGGUGGUCUAUAAGGAUGGAAUAGUUCUUGGAGCAGACACGAGAGCAACUGAAGGGAUGGUUGUUGCUGACAAAAACUGUUCAAAAAUUCACUUCAUAUCUCCUAAUAUUUAUUGCUGUGGUGCUGGGACAGCUGCAGACACAGACAUGACAACCCAGCUUAUUUCUUCUAACUUGGAGCUCCACUCUCUCACCACCGGCCGCCUUCCCAGAGUUGUCACAGCGAAUCGGAUGCUGAAGCAGAUGCUUUUCAGGUAUCAAGGUUACAUUGGUGCAGCCCUAGUUUUGGGGGGAGUCGAUGUUACUGGACCUCAUCU
rnacentral:lncRNA from 1 species